UACAGAGGGGGCAAGCGUUAUUCGGAAUUAUUGGGCGUAAAGGGCGCGUAGGCGGCUUGGCAAGUGGAUGGUGAAAUCCCUCGGCUUAACCGAAGAACUGCCGUCCAAACUGCUUUGCUUGAGACCGGGAGAGGUGAGUGGAAUUCCCAGUGUAGCGGUGAAAUGCGUAGAUAUUGGGAGGAACACCAGUGGCGAAGGCGGCUCACUGGACCGGUACUGACGCUGAGGCGCGAAAGCGUGGGGAGCAAACGGG
rnacentral:rRNA from 1 species